GCCAAGCCUAGGUCCGUACACCCGAAAGCCGGAUUCGUCACCCGGUUAGGCUUGGCUCCCUUCUGACGG
rnacentral:sRNA from 1 species